CUAUUGUGUCUUCAAGCCAAAUCAUGUGUAAUUUCUUUAUCAAAUUUUAUUAUAAUUAUAAUUUCUUCAUAAUAUUAAUGUUAUAGCCAAAUGUGAAUUUCUGAAAGUUUGAUAAUGAUUAAGUGCUAGUUAAAGAUAUAAUCGACCUAGAACAUUGAUGAGGCAUGCGUUAGGUUAUUGAGAUCAAGGUAAACUCGACUACAGAGCAGUUAUUGAGAUCAAGGUAAACUCGACUACAGAGAAGGUCGGUUGGGCAGGUGUUAUUGAGAUCAAGGUAAACUCGACUACAGAGAAGGUCGGUGGGGCAGAUGUUAUUGAGAUCAAGGUAAACUUGACUACAGAGAAGAUCGGUGAGUCAGGUGUUAUUGAGAUCAAGGUAAACUUGACUAUAGAAAAGAUUGGUGGGUGAGGUGUUAUUGAGAUCAAGGUAAACUUGAUUACAGAGAAGGUCUAUGGAUUAGAGAAAACAUUAUUUUGAGUUGGAGAUAAACUAUUAUUGAAUGGUUCUAGUCAAUAUGAACCUGGUCUAUAGACAAGCAAUAUUAAAUAUUACUACAGAUGUUAUUUGUAUCAUUCAAAAAUUUUCCUAUUUAUAUUUCGUAACUAACCGGAGUAAUUAUGAGUGUUUAUGUAACUAGCCGUAAAUAAUAUUUACAUUUUCUAGUUGUUUGAACUUUGAGAGUAUGUGGUGUCUGUGUGUUAUAGACUAAAGAUAUUCAAGGUCGGAUGGGUGUUUGUAGUAAAUGACUUGGUCAGAGAGAGGCUUGUGUUCUUUGUUCAUUAUUUAUGUUGUAGUAAGUGUACUGAUAAGCUAUAUUCCCUAAAUGUGAUAUUUAUGAUAAAUAGAUAACAAUGCAAAAACACCUGAAAUUGUUCACUGGAUGAAAUGGUUGUACCUGACACAGGUUUAUAAAUGUAUUAGUGGCAGCCAUUGCCACAGUUAGUAUGAUCUCGUAGUUAUGUUGUAGAAUUUUUUUUUUUUUUUUUUUUGUUAUAUGACAUUCCAUGUUAAGAUUUUGUAGUGUUGAUAAGCCUACCGAUUUCUCAUUGGUGAAAUAAUUAAUCAAGGUCACAAUUGUAAAAAAGUAUUAUCUGGUUAUGGUUGCAUCGGUGAAAGUAAAUAACCUCUCAAGGUCACAUCAGUGAAACUGAUUGACUUGUCAAUGUCACAUCGGUGAAACUUGUCAAUGUCACGUCACAUUGGUGAAAUUUGAUUAACCUCUUAAAUGACAUCGGUGAAACUGAUUAGCCUCUCAAAGUCACAUCAGUGAAAUUGAUUAACUUGUCAAUGUCGCAUCGGUGAAACUUGAUUAACCUCUCAAAUCACAUCGAUGAAACCGAUUAACCUCUCAAGGUCACAUCGGUAUGAUUUAUCAUAUCAAGGUCACGGAUGUGUGUAGGAUGGCGAGAUAUCAUGGUCAGCUUUGGUUUAAUGCUCAGUGGAGUAUUCGUUAAAACUCCUUAGAAAAUUACUAUUUCUUUUAAUAAAAAUGCAUAAUACUCACUAUUUUUUUAAUUAGUACUGUAACACCAAUUACAAUUAGUACAGUCUAUAGCUACAUCAGGUUCACUUGGUGGACGUCUGAUUUGCAUUAUAAAAGCAGUCCCUUGUCUUCAACUUGUCUCUGAAGGUUUUAAUUUAAUGAUAGAAGUUGUAAAGAUAAUUUAGUCAAAUUAAUUAGGUCUUCUUAACAAAGUUGAUUUCUGUGAACCGACGUACCAGAGAUCCACACAGAUUUAAAUAACUUUCCUUCAUCAUCAUACCAUUACUGUUUUGCUUUCAUUAAAAAUCAUGUUUUAUUACUAAGGAAUAAUUUAAUGACUACAUUUUCUGUCUUUUAAUCUUGAUAUGAAUUAAACAUUUGGUGUUGUAUAGAUUGAAAUCUGAUGUGGUUUUGAUACUUUAGAAUGAUGUACCUGUACCUGCCAAAUUUUACAUGGUAAAUACUUUACUCUGAUACUGUACCAUGAACAAGGAAACUUGCUCCCUACAGCUAAAUAAUCUCCAUUUACUAUCAACUUCAAUAUGUGUAAAAUUUCAGAGUGGAAUUUUUAUAUUGUACAUGUAGUUCUAUGAACUUUCAUGGUGUGAAAAUGGUGAAAAAUAAAUGUAAGGCUUUCUUUCAGAGGAAAAAAAAUUAUAAAAAAUUAAAAUAAUUUGUCAGAUUUAAUUUGUUAGGUGUGAAAAACAAUUGAUUAUUUUAAACAAUUAAUGAACUGGCCAGCAGUUUAGAGAUUUGUAAAAAAGGUUAUACAUUUACAUACGAUUUGGUCUGUAAUUUGGAUACAUGUUUUCUGCCUACAUGACUCCAACUAUCGCAAGGAUUUAUAUCACCAACAAAAAGUCGGUGUUUUGUUGGCUUAAGGAAAUAGCCUUGAUCUUCCCUCGGUUAGACUACCAUGGUACUUGUUAGGCUACUUUUAAAGUGUACAAUAUUUCAUUCAAAUUUUUACAGGCUGGACCAGUCUAUUCUAAAGUUAGGGGGGAGUUGAUGUUAAGCUAGUCAGUCUAUUUCUAAGUUUGGAGGAUGAGUGGUUUAACUAUAGUCUACUCCCUAGUUUGUGGAGAUAGGAGAAUAGACUGGUCUACACCAAUGUUUGUAGGGAUGAGAGGUUAGACUGGUUUAUAAUGUUUGCUGGGAUGAGAAGUUAGACUGGUCUACACCAAGGUUUGUAGGGAUGAGAAGUUAGACUGGUCUACACCAAGGUUUGUAGGGAUGAGAGGUUAGACUAGUCUAAUCCAUUGUUUCAGGGAUGACAGGUUAGACCAGUCUACUCCAAGGUUUGUAGGGAUGAGAGGUUAGACUGGUUUACUCCAGGGUUUGUGGGGAUUGGAGGUUUGAAUAAUCUACAAAAUUUGUAAGGAUGAGAGGUUAGGCUAGUCCAUUCCAAUUUUUGAAGGGAUGAGAAGUUAGACUGGUCUACUGUAAUGUUUGUGAGGAUGAGAGGUUAGGCUAGUGAAGUAGCUAGUCUACUCUUAGGUUUGUGGGGAUGAGAGGUUAGAUCAGUCUACUCUUAGGUUUGUGGGGAUGAGAGGUUAGAUCAGUCUACUCUUAGGUUUGUGGGGAUGAGAGGUUAGAUCCAUCUACUCUUAGGUUUGUGGGGAUGAGAGGUUGUUGAGGGUAGAGAUCGGCUCAGUCUACUCCAAGGUUUCUGGGGAUGAGAGGUUGUUGGGGGUAGAGAUUGGCUCAGUCUAUUCCAAGGUUUGUCAGGGUUAUUGUCUGUUUUAUAACUAGUCUUGUGUAGCAUCAGUAUACCAGGUGAGAAUCGAUUGUCGUGUAGACCGGCACACUUUUAUCUUAUCAUGCUUCACCGUGUAAGAGGCAUGUGCUUGUGUUUUAUUAUACUUGUACUGGUAUUUCUAUGUAUGAAUAAAACUCUACAAUGAAGUAUA